rnacentral:rRNA from 1 species
UGGGGAAUUUUGGACAAUGGGGGCAACCCUGAUCCAGCAAUGCCGCGUGAGUGAAGAAGGCCUUCGGGUUGUAAAGCUCCUUUGUCUGGGAAGAAAUCCUUUGGGCUAAUACCUCGGAGGGAUGACGGUACCGGAAGAAUAAGCACCGGCUAACUACGUGCCAGCAGCCGCGGUAAUACGUAGGGUGCGAGCGUUAAUCGGAAUUACUGGGCGUAAAGCGUGCGCAGGCGGUUGUGCAAGACAGAGGUGAAAUCCCCGAGCUUAACUUGGGAACUGCCUUUGUGACUGCACGGCUAGAGUGUGUCAGAGGGGGGUAGAAUUCCACGUNUAGCAGUGAAAUGCGUAGAGAUAUGGAGGAAUACCGAUGGCGAAGGCAGCCCCCUGGGAUAANACUGACGCUCAUGCACGAAAGCGUGGGGAGCAAACAGGAUUAGAUACCCUGGUAGUCCACGCCCUAAACGAUGUCAACUAGUUGUCAGGUCUUAAUUGACUUGGUAACGCAGCUAACGCGUG